rnacentral:rRNA from 3 species
UCUGACGGAGCAACGCCGCGUGAGUGAUGAAGGUUUUCGGAUCGUAAAGCUCUGUUGUUAGGGAAGAACAAGUACCGUUCGAAUAGGGCGGUACCUUGACGGUACCUAACCAGAAAGCCACGGCUAACUACGUGCCAGCAGCCGCGGUAAUACGUAGGUGGCAAGCGUUGUCCGGAAUUAUUGGGCGUAAAGCGCGCGCAGGUGGUUCCUUAAGUCUGAUGUGAAAGCCCACGGCUCAACCGUGGAGGGUCAUUGGAAACUGGGGAACUUGAGUGCAGAAGAGGAAAGUGGAAUUCCAAGUGUAGCGGUGAAAUGCGUAGAUAUUUGGAGGAACACCAGUGGCGAAGGCGACUUUCUGGUCUGUAACUGACACUGAGGCGCGAAAGCGUGGGGAGCAAACAGGAUUAGAUACCCUGGUAGUCCACGCCGUAAACGAUGAGUGCUAAGUGUUAGGGGGUUUCCGCCCCUUAGUGCUGCAGCUAACGCAUUAAGCACUCCGCCUGGGGAGUACGGUCGCAAGACUGAAACUC